rnacentral:rRNA from 1 species
AGCAGCCGCGGUAAUUCCAGCUCCAAUAGCGUAUAUUAAAGUUGUUGCAGUUAAAAAGCUCGUAGUUGAACUUCAGGCCUGUCCAGAUGGUCCGCCUUAAUUGGUGUGUACUGUCCUUGGGUGGGUCCUACCUUCUGGCGAAGCGGCAUGGCCUUAAUUGGUUGUGUCGGGGAACCAGGACUUUUACUGUAGAAAAAUUAGAGUAGUUCAAAGCAGGCAUAUAUGCUCGAAUACAUUAGCAUGGAAUAAUGGAAUAGGACGAUGGUUCUAUUUUGUUGGUUCUAGGACCGUUGUAAUGAUUAAUAGGGAUAGUUGGGGGCAUUAGUAUUCAAUUGUCAGAGGUGAAAUUCUUGGAUUUAUUGAAGACUAACUACUGCGAAAGCAUUUGCCUAAGGAUAGUUUUCAUUAAUCUAAGAACGAAAGUUAGGGGAUCGAAGACGAUCCAGAUACCGUCGUAGUCUUAAACCAUAAACUAUAGCCGACUAGGAAUCGGGCAUUGUGUACAAAAUGAACUCGCUCG